rnacentral:rRNA from 1 species
AGAACGAACGCUGGCGGCAGGCCUAAUACAUGCAAGUCGAACGCACUCUUCGGAGUGAGUGGCAGACGGGUGAGUAACGCGUGGGAACCUUCCCAAUGGUACGGAAUAACUCCGGGAAACCGGUGCUAAUACCGUAUAAGCCCCUCGGGGGAAAGAUUUAUCGCCAUUGGAUGGGCCCGCGUCGGAUUAGCUAGUUGGUAAGGUAAUGGCUUACCAAGGCUACGAUCAGUAGCUGGUCUGAGAGGAUGAUCAGCCACACUGGGACUGAGACACGGCCCAGACUCCUACGGGAGGCAGCAGUAGGGAAUCUUGCGCAAUGGGCGAAAGCCUGACGCAGCCAUGCCGCGUGAAUGAUGAAGGUCUUAGGAUUGUAAAAUUCUUUCAGCGGGGACGAUAAUGACGGUACCCGCAGAAGAAGCCCGGCUAACUUCGUGCCAGCAGCCGC